UACGAAGGGGGCUAGCGUUGUUCGGAAUCACUGGGCGUAAAGGGCGCGUAGGCGGCCGAUCAAGUCGGGGGUGAAAGCCUGUGGCUCAACCACAGAAUUGCCUUCGAUACUGUUUGGCUUGAGACCGGAAGAGGUUAGUGGAACUGCGAGUGUAGAGGUGAAAUUCGUAGAUAUUCGCAAGAACACCAGUGGCGAAGGCGGCUUACUGGUCCGGUUCUGACGCUGAGGCGCGAAAGCGUGGGGAGCAAACAGG
rnacentral:rRNA from 1 species